rnacentral:rRNA from 1 species
GACGAACGCUGGCGGCGUGCUUAACACAUGCAAGUCACGGGGGCCCGCAAGGGCAACCGGCGAACGGGUGCGUAACACGUGAGCAAUCUGCCGAUCUCUGGGGGAUAGCCGGCCCAACGGCCGGGUAAUACCGCAUACGCUUGUUGGGGGGAUUCCCCUGAUGAGGAAACCUCCGGGGGAGAUCGAGGAGCUCGCGGCCUAUCAGCUAGUUGGCGGGGUAAUGGCCCACCAAGGCANCGACGGGUAGCUGGUCUGAGAGGAUGGCCAGCCACAUUGGGACUGAGAAACGGCCCAGACUCCUACGGGAGGCAGCAGUGGGGAAUCUUGCGCAAUGGCCGAAAGGCUGACGCAGCGACGCCGCGUGUGGGAGGACGCCUCGGU